CCGAGUGAGGGCCCUUUGGGUCCAACCUCCCACCCGUGUUUAUCGUACCUUGUUGCUUCGGCGGGCCCGCCUCACGGCCGCCGGGGGGCAUCUGCCCCCGGGCCCGCGCCCGCCGAAGACACCAUUGAACGCUGUCUGAAGAUUGCAGUCUGAGCAUCUUAGCUAAAUCAGUUA
rnacentral:misc_RNA from 2 species